rnacentral:lncRNA from 1 species
UUGCUGUGCAUUUAAGCCAGCAGAAGAAGUCAAAUUGAGGUCUGUGUGUGUGAGGAAGAGCAGGGAUCGAUGAGUUACAUGGCAGACAUUUGGCAUAUUGAUUCAUCAGAGAAGUAGGCCGAAGCUUGACAUAGCAACCGAACAUGCAGUCUCCUAAUGACUUAACCACAUCAACUCUUUCUCUUCUGUGCAGUUCACCCUCCCUUCAUCUGUCCCUUCAGGCACCAACCGUGGCUAGAACAUGUAACCCCCCCCACCCCUCCACCCCAGGCCCUCUCAGUCUCCAGGCAGAUCUGGAUCUCCAUGGCCGCGGUGAGACCAGAUCAAGCCAAUCCAAUUGCUGAGCAGGGAUCAAGUCACUGUACUGGUGCUGCUUCCAGUAACCACCAGGAGCCAAACCUCCCGAGGUCUUCCCACCACAUCACACAGCCUGCUGCAUGGGUGUGUGUGUGUGUGUAAGGAGAAGCAGAGAAAAGAAAGAAGGAUUAAAAGAUAAAAACCAUACCAGCAAACCAAAUCUAUUUUGAAGUACUUUGACUUCCUUCCUCAAACAAGGCCUUAGUUGCCUUUUUGGUCCCACAUGACACACCAUCAUGAUCACUCACUGGCCUUUUCACAAGCCUACCCUCUGGUCAGGGGUGAAUUAUUCAUUUUAUUGGCUUAUUUUUGUAACAUUGAGAAACAUCCAGCAACUGAAAUCGACCAGACUCAUAUGUUUUUUUUUCCAAUUUAAUUUUUUUGUGUUUUUUAUUAUCCUAGACUGAACUUGAUUUUUGAAACCAAAAAAAGAAAAAAUGGCUUUGAUAUUUACAUUCUUAUUUGAUGCACUAUACAUGGCUACUGAUCCAAUGACAAAAAAGCCUUGUAAGUUGUUUUGGUAGUCAUUGAAACAAGUGACUUGUGUUGUUUUGUUGGUGAUAUGUUGGUAGUUCAGUAAAUGUGCCAAAUUACUUUUUGCUACUGGUUGAUGUAAAUGAUAAGUGAGUGAACAUUCAGUUGCAUCAUCCUUAAAACCAUGACAAAUAUAAGAGCAAAAAAUAUUAAAACUGCACUGCUGGAUGAGUUCCUUUAAGGAAGAACCUAAACUUGUUUAUCAUGACAACAGUAUAAAAUAAUGCCUUCUGAAGGCUUCGUGCCAGAAUUCACACUAACAGUCUACAUUGGCGGAAUCACUCUGCAUGUCACAGAGCCUAAGUCACACACUAGUGUGUGUGCCAUUUUUAAACUGUGACAAUAAGUUGAUUAAAAGGCAGUCACUCACUGUCAACUUUAU